UGGAUGAGUCACCUCUACUGUCAGCAAGAUGCCCAUCAGCAAGUUCACCACCUGAGAAGGAUCACAGUUACCUAAAGAAGCUUGAUUUAAUAGCAAGACCACAAUGCCAGUUUCAACUUGAUAGUCAGUGUGACUAGCAGCAAGAGUACAGUUUGAAUUGCAAGGCAUCGUCAGAGCUUCAACAAACAUACUCGCUGUGAAUAAAAUAUAAGUUCACAAAUGGUGUAUAUGGGGAAGUCAGAAAACUCACAGCACAGGUAAGCACCAGUGUCAACUGAAGAUUAUAACCACCAUCCCCUUAAGAGCUGACAAAUCCAACUUGGUGAAGAGUGCCCUAUUCUGAGGCGAUACCUCAGGAGACCCAGCAGUCUCCAACCUAGUCUUUUUUGUUAGAAAGUU